CUACGGGAGGCAGCAGUGAGGAAUAUUGCACAAUGGGGGGAACCCUGAUGCAGCAACGCCGCGUGGAGGAUGACGCAUUUCGGUGUGUAAACUCCUUUUAUAUGUCAAGAAAAUGACGGUAGCAUAUGAAUAAGCACCGGCUAACUCCGUGCCAGCAGCCGCGGUAAUACGGAGGGUGCAAGCGUUACUCGGAAUCACUGGGCGUAAAGGACGCGUAGGCGGGCUUGUAAGUCAGGUGUGAAAUCCUACAGCUUAACUGUAGAACUGCACUUGAAACUACGAGCCUAGAGUAUGGGAGGGGCAGAUGGAAUUAGUGGUGUAGGGGUAAAAUCCGUAGAUAUCACUAGGAAUACCUAAAGCGAAGGCGAUCUGCUGGAACAUAACUGACGCUAAGGCGUGAAAGCGUGGGGAGCAAACAGGAUUAGAUACCCCUGUAGUC
rnacentral:rRNA from 1 species